rnacentral:rRNA from 1 species
CCCGCACAAGCAGCGGAGCGUGUGGUUUAAUUCGAUGAUACACGAAGAACCUUACCCAGGCUUGACAUGCAGGUAUCGGGGUUUAUGAAAGUAAGCCCACCCUCGGGAGGCCUGCACAGGUGCUGCAUGGCUGUCGUCAGCUCGUGUCGUGAGAUGUUGGGUUAAGUCCCGCAACGAGCGCAACCCUUGUCACUAGUUGCCAUCAUUUAGUUGGGCACUCUAGUGAGACUGCCGGUGACAAACCGGAGGAAGGUGGGGAUGACGUCAAGUCCUCAUGGCCCUUAUGGGUAGGGCUUCACACGUCAUACAAUGGUCGGGACAGAGGGUAGCCAACCCGCGAGGGGGAGCCAAUCCCAUAAAGCCAGUCGUAGUCCGGAUCGUAGUCUGCAACUCGACUACGUGAAGUCGGAAUCGCUAGUAAUCGUGGAUCAGAAUGUCACGGUGAAUACGUUCCCGGGUCUU